rnacentral:rRNA from 1 species
GCACUUUAAGCAGUGAAGAAGACUCCGUGGUUAAUACCCACGGACGAUGACAUUAGCUGCAGAAUAAGCACCGGCUAACUCUGUGCCAGCAGCCGCGGUAAUACAGAGGGUGCAAGUGUUAAUCGGAAUUACUGGGCGUAAAGGGAGCGUAGGUGGCUUGAUAAGUCAGAUGUGAAAUCCCCGGGCUUAACCUGGGAACUGCAUCUGAUACUGUUGAGCUAGAGUAGGUGAGAGGAAGGUAGAAUUCCAGGUGUAGCGGUGAAAUGCGUAGAGAUCUGGAGGAAUACCGAUGGCGAAGGCAGCCUUCUGGCAUCAUACUGACACUGAGGCUCGAAAGCGUGGGUAGCAAACAGGAUUAGAUACCCUGGUAGUCCACGCCGUAAACGAUGUCUACUAGUCGUUGG